rnacentral:rRNA from 1 species
UCAUUUAGCGGAGGAAAAGAAACUAACAAGGAUUCCCUUAGUAACGGCGAGUGAACCGGGAGAAGCCCAGCGCUGAAUCUCACGGUAUUAUACCGUUGAGAGGUGUAGCGUAUAGGUAUGUCCAUCAGUUUGUGCUGCAUGUCCAAAGUCCCUUUGAUAGGGGCCACAUUCCCGAGAGGGUGCGAGACCUGUGCGGACAGUGGAGCAAGCUGUAUGGUCAUAUCAUGGAGUCGGGUUGCUUGAAAGUGCAGCCUAAAGUGGGUGAUAAACUUCAUCUAAGGCUAAAUAUAGACGCGAAUUCGAUAGCAAACAAGUACUGUGAAGGAAAGU